rnacentral:lncRNA from 1 species
GAGAUUUCACCCCAGCUAUCGGGGUGGAGCCCCACUUUCUCUGGCCCCUCCGGAUUUCUGCUCCCCGGCUGCUGGUCCUGCUUCCCGGGGGUGUCAGAUGUGCAGGGGAUCUGUGGGGCUGAAGGCUCCCGGCCGCAGCCGAGGCGCAGAGCCCUUGCCAGCCUUGGGAGAGAGCGUGUGGAGCAGCUCCGCAUUGAGGAAGGGGCCUGUUGGUCAGUUGCUCAGCUCCUUUGUGCCUGUUUCUGCGUCGGUGAAGUGGGCGCUGUGUCCCUGGUCGGCCCCCGCAGGCUCUUCUGGACCAAGGUCUCCUGGCCCCCCUGUGGCCCCAGCUGGCCAAUGCAUCUGCCCCGGGCUCAGCUAACCCUGGCUGAGGGCUCAGCACUGUCAGCGUGACCUGACUCCUCAGGUGUGCUGUCAUCUUACCAUGAGCUGAGAGCCUCCUUGGAUGCCAUCAACAGCCACCUGCAGAGGACACAGGCCUCGCCUGCGGCCACACCUGCCCUUGCUGCCUGGCUGUGCAGUGGAGACCCCUGUGCCUCACCUCUGCAUCACAACACUCGGCAGGGCUGACACACUGGCAGCUCCGCGCCCAGGCCAGCUGAUUCCAUCAUUUGAAGAUGCCAUUUCUUCUGAGCCAGAGAUUUUAUGGCUCUAAGGAUUAGAAGCUGUUAUCCCAACCCACCCCGGAGCACUCUAUUCUGAGUUUAUGGGCAUCCCUGGCCUGUUCUGAUCCUUGCCCUCUGUGGCACUGGGCUCUGAAGAGGAGACAGGAGCCAAGGGAAACACAGCGGUCCUUCCUCUUCCUGCUCUGUGUCCUGCUCCUGCCUCAACAAAGCUCCCUGGCUUCCCAUGCCUGGAGCAGCCUGCAAAGGAGUCUCCACCACAGAGCUGACAGCUGAGUGCCCCUUGCUCCAUCCAGGCAGGUGUGGACAGCUCCGUCUGCAGGUCCCAGAGUCCACUCCAAGCACCUCCCCAAGGGCACAAAGUCCCGUCCCCUGGGCCUCCACCCUGGAGCCAGAAGAGCUUGCAGAGACACUUCUGUCCACUGCAGAAGGACGUCAGGAAGCCAAGCUUGCAGAGGUGACCUGGCCUCUCUCAGAGGCCAGGAAGAGGCAACUGUGGGAGCCACAUCCAGCCCCUGUCCUUCCUGCCCCUGCCGGCCUGCUGACCCACCUCCCCAGCAGUGUCCACCCGACCACACUGAGCCUUGCCGGUCACCUCUCUCCCCCAGCAUCUGGCUCCAGACACAACCCUCUGGCUCCUGAGCUGUCUUUAGUGGUCGCUGUAGGAUUUCUGUGUACAUCUCAUCAGAGUCAACCUCAGGGUCUGCAGGAUUCUGUGGGGGUGGGGAUGGGGGGGUCAGGAAAUACAACUCCCACACAGCUCCUUCCCUCUGGCUUUUAUGGCACUGUUCUGUACAUGUGACUCUCUCAGGAUUACAAAGCCCACAACACAUCUGGCAGUUAUUCCCUUGCACGGGUCCUCACGCCCACAGCCCGGUCUGGCCUCACUCCCUCCCACCUUUGUGUAACUACUCCCAAACAUGAUACGUGGGUGCUACCUUUCCCUCUGCCACAAGCCUGACAAUCCAUUCCAUGCACAUCCUUUUCUAUGCCUGUUUGUUAUGUGCACGUGUCAACUUCACACAAGGAAUGUAAAUAUUAGGUGUUGCAAACAUGUAUUAAUAAAAAAAAACAGUUAAGAGGAAAAAAGGAGUUUUCCUUUCAAUGCCUUUUAUAAUUACUUUUGCUGGGCUCUUGGUCAGUGGUUCGAUCACCUCUUUCACCCGGACAACUUCUUUUCACAGUUUUUGGAAAGUGGUGGCUUCCCAGAGAGGAGCCAGGUGCUCGCCACUGAGUCACCCAGGAAAGGGCACAGGUGUGUGAUGCUUGCUAUGCCUGUCCUCAGAGGGCAAUCCUGCCCUGAAUCUACUGCACAGAACUAUAGGCUGAGGGGUCUGGGGAGUGGACAUCGUGUCUAGACAGAUGGUGGUCCACCCUGCCUCUUGUUGGUUGCACAGACUUAGGGCUGUGUGCCUCCGGGGACCCAGCUUCAUCCAGUUCCUACACAGGAGGGCGCUCUUUGUCCCUCGCUCAGGGUCCUGCAGGGAUGAAGUGCCUCAGGCCUUGGCACAACAGGUUGAAGCAGGGACCACUGCUAUUAAGAGCGCUUCCUGAAUCUCGGCCCCCGACGUGCAGGGGG